AUGAUUUUGUGGCUGAGCUUGGUGUCCUUACUUGUAUCUCUUGGAGGUGUCAGAUCUGAUGUCCAGUUGGUGGAGUCUGGAGGGGAUGUGAGAAGACCUGGGGAGUCCCUCCGUCUCUCCUGCCAAGCCUCUGGAUUCACCUUCAGCAGCUAUGAAAUGAGCUGGGUGAGACAGGCCCCAGGGAAAGGCCUGGAAUGGGUAGCCUACAUAAGCGAAGGCUCAUCUUACAUUUACUAUUUAAACAAAGUCAAGGGACGCUUCACCAUCUCUAGGGAUAAUGCCAAAAGCCAGCUGUAUCUGCAAAUGAACAGCCUCAAACCAGAAGACACUGCAGUCUAUUACUGUGCAAGAGACACAGUGAGAGGAAGUGAAUUUGAAGCCCACCAAGAACUUUCUCUACCUCUGAACAUCUUUCACAUAUUUUCAUUUACUCCCUUUUUUUUCUUUCAAUAUUGCCAAACUUCCACAGUCUCAUUCUUUUCUACAAGUUAUGCACUUUUCAUUUGUUCUCCAUUAAUUUAUACUCAGUGUGCUUAA